UACGGAGGGUGCAAGCGUUAAUCGGAAUUACUGGGCGUAAAGCGCACGCAGGUGGCUGAGUCAGUCGAUUGUGAAAGCCCUGGGCUUAACCUGGGAAUUGCAGUCGAUACUACUUAGCUAGAGUAUGGGAGAGGGAAGCGGAAUUUCCGGUGUAGCGGUGAAAUGCGUAGAUAUCGGAAGGAACAUCAGUGGCGAAAGCGGCUUCCUGGACCAGUACCGACGUUCAGGCACGAAAGCGUGGGGAGCAAACAGG
rnacentral:rRNA from 1 species